rnacentral:lncRNA from 1 species
ACAGCCAGCGCCCGCGCGCCCGGUUCCCUCCAUGCGCAGACGGGCCGCGGGCGCGCACGCCUCACCUUUCCAUCCGCACCCCAUCUGGGGACUCUGGGGUCCCCGCCCCCCGCCGUGAAAGGUUUCCUAGGCGGCCGUGGGAGCAGAAACGCCGAGAGGGCUUUGCUGGAGAAGCGCCCCCGCCCCCGCGCGCCGCCUGAACUCCCUCCUCGGGGAAUGAGGUAG